GAUCAUGGCUCAGGAUGAACGCUGGCGGCGUGCUUAACACAUGCAAGUCGAACGAAGCUCUUUGAACGGAGGAUUCGUCUGAAGUGAGAAGAUGACUUAGUGGCGGACGGGUGAGUAACGCGUGGGGAAUCUGCCCCGUACCGGGGGAUAACACUUAGAAAUAGGUGCUAAUACCGCAUAAGCGCACGGUGUCGCAUGACACAGUGUGAAAAAACUCCGGUGGUACGGGAUGAUCCCGCGUCUGAUUAGCCAGUUGGCAGGGUAACGGCCUACCAAAGCGACGAUCAGUAGCCGGCCUGAGAGGGUGAACGGCCACAUUGGGACUGAGACACGGCCCAAACUCCUACGGGAGGCAGCAGUGGGGAAUAUUGCACAAUGGGGGAAACCCUGAUGCAGCCGACGCCGCGUGAGUGAAGAAGUAUCUCGGUAUGUAAAGCUCUAUCAGCAGGGAAGAAAAUGACGGUACCUGACUAAGAAGCCCCGGCUAACUACGUGCCAGCCGCAGC
rnacentral:rRNA from 1 species